UGAGGAAUAUUGGGCAAUGCCCGAAAGGGUGACCCAGCAACGCCGCGUGGAGGAUGAAGGUCGUAAGAUUGUAAACUCCUGUUAGAGGGGAAGAAUAACUAAGUUUGGAGCUUAGUAUGACUGUACCCUCAGAGAAAGCCCCGGCUAACUACGUGCCAGCAGCCGCGGUAAUACGUAGGGGGCAAGCGUUGUCCGGAUUUACUGGGUGUAAAGGGCGCGCAGGCGGAAUGGAAAGUCAGUGGUGAAAUCCUACAGCUUAACUGUAGAACUGCCUUUGAUACUUUCAUUCUUGAGUUCGGGAGAGAGAGACGGAAUUCCAGGUGUAGUGGUGAAGUACGUAGAUAUCUGGAAGAACACCAGUUGCGAAGGCGGUCUCUUGGUCCGAUACUGACGCUGAGGCGCGAAAGCGUGGGGAGCAAACA
rnacentral:rRNA from 1 species